UACAGAGGUCUCAAGCGUUGUUCGGAUUCAUUGGGCGUAAAGGGUGCGUAGGCGGCGCGGUAAGUCGGGUGUGAAAUCUCGGAGCUUAACUCCGAAACUGCAUUCGAUACUGCCGUGCUGGAGGACUGGAGAGGAGACUGGAAUUUACGGUGUAGCGGUGAAAUGCGUAGAUAUCGUAAGGAAGACCAGUGGCGAAGGCGGGUCUCUGGACAGUUCCUGACGCUGAGGCACGAAGGCCAGGGGAGCAAACGGG
rnacentral:rRNA from 1 species